AAGAAGCUGCUGCCGCUGCCGCUGCCGCUGCCGCUGCCGCUACUGCUGCUGCUGCUGCUAUUCAUUGGUAUCAGAGAGGUCUUUAACGGCCUACCACUGAGUUCCAUUCCUCGGAAUCAGAGAGGUCUUUAAUGGUCCACCACUGAGUUCCAUUCCUCUCUACAAAAAUUUCAGAGCACUUGUGAUUGGAUUGGGUGUGGUGGUGCCAUGCCUCCCUCCCAUUCUCUUCUGAUGAACACUUUUCUCUCUUCCUUUUCCACACCCUCCCUCUCUCUUUGCCCCUUCUCUUUCCUCGAAAUGAGGUGGAAGACCAUGUCCGCUGCCAUGAGGAUCAGACGCCCUCUACAGAUCAGAUUUCAAUCCAAAGUACCUGGGCGGGACUCAGAAAUCAUAUUCAUGGGCACAGGAACUAGUGAAGGCAUUCCACGAGUUAGCUGUCUCACCAAUCCUACAAAGGCUUGUCCGGUUUGUUCAAAAGCUCUGGAGCCUGGUAAUAAGAAUAAUCGACUUAACACAAGCAUCCUCAUCUGCUAUUCUAGUUCAUUAGGAAGACAUAACAUUCUUGUUGAUGCUGGCAAAUUUUUCUAUCAUAGUGCUCUUAAGUGGUUUCCAAAAUUUGGGUUAAGAUCCAUUGAUGCUGUCAUUAUUACCCAUUCUCAUGCUGAUGCAAUUGGAGGACUUGAUGACCUCCGUGAUUGGACUAACAAUGUCCAGCCUUAUAUCCCGAUUUAUGUGACAGCACGUGAUUUUGAGGUGAUGAAGAAGACACAUUAUUAUAUAGUUGAUACAAGUGUUGUCACUCCUGGAGCAGCAGUUUCUGAGUUGCAGUUCAACAUUAUAAAAGACGAGCCAUUCGUUGUACAUAAUCUUGAGGUGACUCCUUUACCCGUAUGGCAUGGGAAUGGUUAUCACUCCCUUGGUUUUCGCUUUGGAAAUAUUUGCUACAUUAGUGAUGUUAGUGAGCUACCUGAGGAAACAUAUCCACUCCUCAAUGACUGUGACUUGCUAAUUCUGGAUGCAUUAAGACCUGAUCGUUCAUCUUCUACUCAUUUUGGACUACCUAGGGCCUUAGAGGAAGUGCGGAAGAUUCAACCAAGGAAAACACUUUUCACUGGAAUGAUGCAUCUGAUGGACCAUGAGAAAGUAAACCAGGAUCUAGCGAAGUUACUGGAAACAGAGGGCCUAGAUGUUCAAUUGAGCUAUGAUGGCCUUAGGAUACCAGUGAACCUCGAGGGUUUUGGAUCACGGUGUAAACCAUUAUCUGCAAAAGAAUUUAUAUGAAUCAUGAUUCAGAUGAGGAGAUACACUGACAUGAGGCCCUGAUGAGAAAUAUUAAGAGUUGUCAACUUUUGGCAUGGAAAGCUCAGAAAAUCCUUCAUUAAGUUCAAGGGAAAAAGAAUGUUUGCAAACAAGUUGAUUUGAGGACGAUUAUUUGUUGAGAUUGAUCCAUCAAAAUUUUCAACAGUAGGUUAAAGCAGGUGAAUGUGAAUAUAUGGAACUACGCUCACCAAUCUCUGCAUGACAUCCCCACUCCACAAUUUCCUCUGGGCCACUGUGCCAACUGUAGGGGUGGGUGCAUAAAGUAGGCCCACAAACAGAACAGGGAAAACUUGUCAUAUCACAUAAUUGGAAAAUGUUUUGAGAGGUUUAAAAACCUCAUCAAAAACUGCAAAUCUGGCAUCGGCAAACCUUCAAAUCAAUCA